UCCUUCGCUAAUGGAGAACAGUGGAAGAUUGUCCGACGCUUCACCCUGACUGCUCUCCGGGACUUUGGGAUGGGAAAACGGAGGAUCGAGGAACGAAUCCUGGAGGAGGCUGGCUUCCUGCUCUAGGAAUUCCACAAGACCAAGGGUGCACCCAUCAACCCCACUUUCUUCCUGAGCUGCGCUGUCUGCAAUGUCAUCAGUUCCAGAGUCUUUGGAAGCCGCUUUGACUACGAGGACGGGCAGUUCCGGAAGCUGCUGCAGAUGAUCCACUGGAACUUAUCUGCUAUUAACUCACCAUUGGCACAGGCUGAAGCUGCCUCCCCACCUCCCACUUCAUUCUCCGCUCAGUGCUGGCAGGAAAGGAGAAAGUGU